rnacentral:rRNA from 1 species
CAGCAGCCGCGGUAAUACGUAGGUCCCGAGCGUUGUCCGGAUUUAUUGGGCGUAAAGCGAGCGCAGGCGGUUAGAUAAGUCUGAAGUUAAAGACUGUGGCUUAACCAUAGUAUGCUUUGGAAACUGUUUAACUUGAGUGCAGAAGGGGAGAGUGGAAUUCCAUGUGUAGCGGUGAAAUGCGUAGAUAUAUGGAGGAACACCGGUGGCGCAAGCGGCUCUCUGGCUUGUAACUGACGCUGAGGCUCGAAAGCGUGGGGAGCAAACAGGAUUAGAGACCCCCGUAGUCCCUGUCUCUUAUACA